UGCCAACUGGGUGUCUGCACUAAGUUCGGCAUCAAUAUGAUGACCUCCUGGGAGCAGGGGGCCACCAGGUUGCCUAAGGAUGAGUGAACUGGCCCAGAUCAGAAAGGGAGCAAGUCAGAACUCCCACACCGACAGGUAGCAGGACUGUGCCUGGGCA
ensembl:misc_RNA Metazoa_SRP Metazoan signal recognition particle RNA